UGUUGGCGCAGCAGUUAGUUGCUCGCCACUACCGACGGCGAGUUGCAGGUUCAAUUCCUGUAACAGGCACAA